rnacentral:rRNA from 1 species
UACGUAGGGUGCAAGCGUUGUUCGGAAUUACUGGGCGUAAAGGGAGCGUAGGCGGAGCCGCAAGUUAGGAGUUCAAUACAUGGGCUUAACCCAUGAUCUGCUUUUAAGACUGCGGUUCUUGAGUAUGGGAGAGGGCAAUGGAAUUCCAGGUGUAGCGGUGGAAUGCGUAGAUAUCUGGAAGAACACCAGUAGCGAAGGCGGUUGCCUGGCCCAAUACUGACGCUGAGGCUCGAAAGCUAGGGGAGCAAACAGG